GCCUUGGAAUCACACUUGGGUUUAGAUCUGGCGGGCUGGUCAUCUUGUAGGCGUGACUCUCCUCUGUGACGUUUCUGGGUUUAACAUAAAGCUAAUUGGGGCUGGCGAGGUGGUGUUUCCCUGUAAUCUCAGCACGUCUGGCGGAAGGAUCGCUUGAGCCCAAGAGUGUGAGACCAUCCCGGGCAACAUAGCGAGACCCUGUUUCGAAUAAAUGAAUGAAUGAAUUAGAUGUUGGAACAAAUUCCAGCAGUUUGGGAGACUGAGGUGGGCGGAUCACUUGAGGUCAGGAGUUAGAGACCAGCGUGGCCAACAUGGUGAAACCGCGUCUCUACUGAAAAUACAAAAAGUUAACUGGGUGCGAUAGCGUGCGCCUGUAGUCCCAGCUACUCGGGAGGCUGAGACAGGAAUCUCUUGAACCCGGGAAGUGGAGGUUGCAGUGAGCUGAGAUCGCACCCACUGCACUUCUGCUUGGGCUACAGAGUGACACUCCAUAAAAAAAAAAAAAAAAAUGAACACCUCCUAUGUUCAAGGGAUUGUUCUAAGUACUAUACAAGAAUUAACUCAUUUAUAGCCGGGUAUGGUGGUGUGCACCUGUAAUCCCAGCUACUUGGGAGGCUGAUGCAGGAGAAUCACUUGAACCCUGGAGGCAGAGAUUGCAGUGAGUCAAGAUCACCCCAUUGCACUCCGGCCUGGGUGACAGAGUAAGACUCUGUCUCAAAAAAAAAAACACACACACAAAAAAAACCCCUCUAUUUAAUUCGUAAAACAAUCCUAAGCAGUAAACUAUUGUCUUUAUUUCAAAGAAGAAGAAAACAGCACAGGGUCCUGUAAUGCCCAAGUGGGUGGAGAUACUGGAAACCGAGUGGCAGCUGGGUGUUCCAGUUCCAGAGAGGGCACUCUGGAACCAGCCAAAGUUCUGUUUCCUCAUUUUUUACAUGAGUAUCUUGGGCUAUAAAGUCUUAAAGAAUGGAUUUCAGAAUAUGUGAGGAAAUCCGUUUCCCAGGUAGACCACAGUGCCCUUGAGUAUCGGGAUUAACAGUAACAACUGGUGUAUUCUUAGUCUUUUAUGGUCCUUGCUCACACCACGCUCUUUGUUCUCCUCCCUCCAAAUAACUCCUUGUUUUCUCAGCUUUCCGUUUAUUUCUUCCCUCCUAUAAGUUUUGCUUAUUAUCUUCUUUGUGUUUUCAGUCCCUUUCAGAUUCCAUUUGUACCUUCAUGCAGAUGACUAAAACAGUCUCCAGCCCUCACCUGUUUUUAGUUGGGCACCUUUACCAAGGAUUACUCACACCUCAAAGACAAGAAGUCCAUUAUUAUCUACAGAGUCCAUCCUCACCAAGGCUAUUGUGUCUGUGUUUACAGCAUGUUCCCUCUACCGUGUACCUAGAUUCCUUGCUUUGACUUUCCCCAUAUCAUGUAGAGAUUGCAGACUAAUCAGCUGUCAAGAGUUCUACUGAUUGGGUAAUACUUCUAGAUUAAAUCAUGGUUUAAUCCCCACUGUCUCAAUGAGUCACUCCUUCCUAUAUCCUGCCACUUUGGCCCACAAACAAUCCAUUUAUUGAAUUUGUGACAAAUGAGAGGAUCAUCUUUUCCAAGUAUAGUUCUGAUUAAACCUUUACCAUACCAAAACUUUUUUUUUUUUUUUUUUUUUGAGAUAAAGUCUCACUGCAUUUCUCAGGUUGUAGUGCAAUGGCAGAAUCUCAGCUCACUGCAACCUCGGCCUUCUGGGUUCAAGUGAUUCUCCUGCCUCACCCUCCCUAGUAGCUAGGACUAGUCGUGUGCCACCAUGCCGGGCUAAUUUUUUAUAUUUUUAGUAGAAAGAGGGUUUUACCACUUUGGCCAAGCUGAUCUCGAACUCCUGACCUCAGGUGAUCCACCCACCUUGGCCUCCCCAAGUGCUGGAAUUACAUGUGAGCCACCAUGCCCAGCCUGCCUUACCAAAACUUUUCAAGAACUUCCCUAAUUUUAGGCUAUUGUUUUUCAGUAUUUCUAUUUAGGGGUUAAAUCUGCAACAAGGGAGAUAUUGGAGAAAUAAUUCAUGUUACAAAAAAUGUUGGAGAGGCAAAAUGGCUUGGGUCAGUGGACUCCAGGGAGCUAGUUUCAUGUCUUCUACAACCGAGCUUAGAGCUCAGCCUAUUACUUAGUGUCCUGUGUCUUCCAACUUCACACUAUUUUUUUUUUUAUAUAGAGAUGGCAUUUCACUGUGUUGCCCAGGCAGAUCUCAAACUCCUGGUCUCAAAUAAUCCUUCCACCUCAGCCUCCCAAAGUGCUGGGAUUAUAGUUGGAGGCUGUGCCUGUCCAUCAACAGCCCAACACUAAGCAUCUUACUGUUAGCCCCUCGUGCACAGAUAAGGAAUUCAGAAGACAGUACCAGAAGAUCUUUAAUCAGAUGGCCAUGAUCCACCUGGAAUAAAAUGAGAAACUGAAUUCAUCUGGGGCUCUUUCCUGCCUGCAAGUCUGCCACUACCUUGCCCAAUUACAACCUUAUUUUCACCUGCUUUAAUUCCUGCUAGUUAUUUUCCUCUUCUUAGAGUUUGACCUCAGUGGGCCCAGAAGUGAUGCCAUUAGAAUGUGAAGUCCUCCAAGAAGAUGCUGUAGGAAUGGCCUUUAUCCCAGGGCCUGGAGAGCAGCCAGAGACAAGGAGAGUGGCCCAGGAGGGCAGUGGCAGUCAGCUGUAUGCUGUGGCCUGUCAGCCUCGGAGCCAGAAGUUAAUCACAGGCUCUCCCAUUGACAGUCAUAAUGAAAUAAGAAAAAGAAGACGGGGAAGAGGAAGUAGAAAACCAUGGCAUAAAUUUACCAAGAGUAAGCUGAGUGUGUACUUCAGCAGUCGUUUGCACAGAAUCUUUAUCCUGAUUUAACAAACAGGGAAAACUGGACAAGUCUCUUGUGCUGUGUUUGUAAUAGAUAUAAGUAAAAUAUUCAAAGCUU